UACGUAGGGUGCGAGCGUUGUCCGGAAUUAUUGGGCGUAAAGGGCUCGUAGGCGGUUUGUCGCGUCGGGAGUGAAAACCUCGGGCUUAACUCGGGGCUUGCUUUCGAUACGGGCAGACUAGAGGUAUGCAGGGGAGAACGGAAUUCCUGGUGUAGCGGUGAAAUGCGCAGAUAUCAGGAGGAACACCGGUGCGAAGGCGGGUCUCUGGGCCGCAACUGACGCUGAGGCGCGAAAGCGUGGGGAGCAACAGG
rnacentral:rRNA from 1 species